AUUGAACGCUGGCGGCAUGCCUUACACAUGCAAGUCGAACGGCAGCACGGGAGCAAUCCUGGUGGCGAGUGGCGAACGGGUGAGUAAAGUAUCGGAACGUACCAUUCAGUGGGGGAUAACGUAGCGAAAGUUACGCUAAUACCGCAUAUUCUGUGAGCAGGAAAGCAGGGGAUCGCAAGACCUUGCGCUGAUUGAGCGGCCGAUAUCAGAUUAGCUAGUUGGUGGGUAAAGCUCACCAAGGCGACGAUCUGUAGCGGGUCUGAGAGGAUGAUCCGCCACACUGGAACUGAGACACGGUCCAGACUCCUACGGAGGCAGCAGUGGGGAAUUUUGGACAAUGGGGGCAACCCUGAUCCAGCCAUGCCGCGUGAGUGAAGAAGGCCU
rnacentral:rRNA from 1 species